rnacentral:rRNA from 1 species
AGCUCCAAUAGCGUAUAUUAAAGUUGUUGCAGUUAAAAAGCUCGUAGUUGGAUUUGUGGCGUACGGUGUGUUCCGGGCACUUGUUGUCUGAGUAACCUGCUGUUGCCAUCCUUGGGUGGAACCUGUGUGGCAUUAGGUUGUCGUGCAGGGGAUGCCCAUCAUUUACUGUGAAAAAAUUAGAGUGUUCAAAGCAGGCUUAUGCCGUUGAAUAUAUUAGCAUGGAAUAAUGAGAUAGGACUUUUUUGCUAUUUUGUUGGUUUGCGCAAAGAGGUAAUGAUUAAUAGGGACAGUUGGGGGUAUUCGUAUUCCAUUGUCAGAGGUGAAAUUCUUGGAUUUUUGGAAGACGAACUACUGCGAAAGCAUUUACCAAGGAUGUUUUCAUUA